GCCUGGGUAACUCAGCCUGGAUUAGAGUGCCACCCUCCUAAGGUGGAAGUCGCAGGUUCAAAUCCUGUCCCGGGCG
rnacentral:tRNA from 1 species